rnacentral:rRNA from 1 species
CCUACGGGGUGCAGCAGUGGGGAAUAUUGGACAAUGGGCGAAAGCCUGAUCCAGCCAUGCCGCGUGUGUGAAGAAGGCCUUCGGGUUGUAAAGCACUUUCAGUGGGGAAGAAAGCCUUGGGGCUAAUACCCUCGAGGAAGGACAUCACCCACAGAAGAAGCACCGGCUAACUCCGUGCCAGCAGCCGCGGUAAUACGGAGGGUGCGAGCGUUAAUCGGAAUUACUGGGCGUAAAGCGCGCGUAGGCGGUCUGAUAAGCCGGUUGUGAAAGCCCCGGGCUCAACCUGGGAACGGCAUCCGGAACUGUCAGGCUAGAGUGCAGGAGAGGAAGGUAGAAUUCCCGGUGUAGCGGUGAAAUGCGUAGAGAUCGGGAGGAAUACCAGUGGCGAAGGCGGCCUUCUGGACUGACACUGACACUGAGGUGCGAAAGCGUGGGUAGCAAACAGGAUUAGAUACCCCGGUAGUC